GUUCGGUUCGGCUUGUGUAGGAUAGCUGGGAGACUGUGAAGCGCUAACGCCGAGUUAGUGUGGAGUCGUCGUUGAAAUACCAGUCUGGUCGUGCUGGAUGUCUAACCUGGGUCCGUGAUCCGGAGUCAGGGACAGUGUCUGAUGGGUAGUUUAACUGGGGCGGUUGCCUCCUAAAGAGUAACGGAGGCGCCCAAAGGUUCCCUCAGCCUGGUUGGCAAUCAGGUGUUGAGUGUAAGUGCACAAGGGAGCUU
rnacentral:ncRNA from 1 species